UUUUUCUCAUUUUACAACUGGAUCAUUCUAGAUUACCUAGACACAUUAUUUGUGAUUAAAUAUUUCAUUUCAGUCAACAGAAACUAAACACGUAAUAUCUAGCAGAGGCACAAGCCAACGAAAUACAUAAACAUAACAAUGAUAAACCUUUCUGCUAUAGGCACAAGGCCUGAAAUUUCGAGGGAAGAUCUAUGUACACAACUGGUACUUAUUUUAUCA